rnacentral:rRNA from 1 species
GGUUGAUCCUGCCAGUAGUCAUAUGCUUGUCUCAAAGACUAAGCCAUGCAUGUGUAAGAAUAAGCAACCUUUAUUCUGUGAAUCUGCGUACAGCUCAUUAUAUCAGUAAUAAUUUAUUUGAAGGUAAAAAUACUACAUGGAUAACCGUAGUAAUUCUAGAGCUAAUACAUGCGGUAAAGUCCCAACUCUCACGGGAAGGGAUGUAUUUAUUAGUUAAAAAACCGAUGCGAGGCUCUGCCUCGGUUCCUGCAUUGGUGGAUCAUAGUAACUGUUCGAAUCGCGGGCUCUUUUG